rnacentral:rRNA from 1 species
CACGUAGGGGGCGAGCGUUGUCCGGAUUUAUUGGGCGUAAAGAGCUCGUAGGCGGCUCGGUAAGUCGGGUGUGAAACCUCCAGGCUCAACCUGGAGACGCCACUCGAUACUGCCGUGGCUAGAGUCCGGUAGAGGAGCGUAGAAUUCCUGGUGUAGCGGUGAAAUGCGCAGAUAUCAGGAGGAAUACCAGCGGCGAAGGCGGAUCUCUGGGCCAUUACUGACGCUGAGGAGCGAAAGCGUGGGGAGCGAACAGG